GCGGCUGUGAUCUAGUCUGGUUAGGAUCGAAGCUUCCCAAGCUUCUUGCUCGGGUUCGAAUCCCGGCAGCCGCA
rfam:Nitrospira bacterium SG8_3 WOR_8-12_26120, whole genome shotgun sequence.